GCCAUUUAUUAAUUAAGGUAGCAGUUUAUUACAUUUUGUUUGUUACUGUAGUUACUGAGUUCAGGUGAUUUAUUAUUUUAGUCUCUGACUCUCUGUAAAACCAACCUCACCUUUACCGCAGAUUUUAUCAGUAUAAUACAUAUUAUGCCCUUCAACAGACAAGCCACUCCCCAAGAGUACUACAUGCAUUUUGAUCACAUGUUGUGAC